UGAACGCUAGCGGCAGGCUUAAUACAUGCAAGUCGUGGGGCAGCAUGACUGUAGCAAUACAGUUGAUGGCGACCGGCAAACGGGUGCGGAACACGUACGCAACCUACCCAAAACUGGUGAAUAGCCUUCCGAAAGGAAGAUUAAUACACCGUAACAUAAUGAAGUGGCAUCACUUUAUUAUUAUAGCUCCGGCGGUUUUGGAUGGGCGUGCGCCUGAUUAGAUAGUUGGCGGGGUAACGGCCCACCAAGUCUGCGAUCAGUAACUGGUGUGAGAGCACGACCAGUCACACGGGCACUGAGACACGGGCCCGACUCCUACGGGAGGCAGCAGUAAGGAAUAUUGGUCAAUGGACGCAAGUCUGAACCAGCCAUGCCGCGUGAAGGAUGAAGGUCCUCUGGAUUGUAAACUUCUUUUAUAUGGGACGAAAACUCUUUUUCUAAAGAGACUGACGGUACCAUAAGAAUAAGCACCGGCUAACUCCGUGCCAGCAGCCGCGGUAAUACGGAGGGUGCAAGCGUUAUCCGGAUUCACUGGGUUUAAAGGGUGCGUAGGAGGGCAGGUAAGUCAGUGGUGAAAUCUCCAAGCUUAACUUGGAAACUGCCGUUGAUACUAUCUGUCUUGAAUAUUGUGGAGGUGAGCGGAAUAUGUCAUGUAGCGGUGAAAUGCUUAGAUAUGACAUAGAACACCAAUUGCGAAGGCAGCUCGCUACACAUA
rnacentral:rRNA from 1 species